rnacentral:rRNA from 1 species
UACGAAGGGGGCUAGCGUUGCUCGGAAUCACUGGGCGUAAAGGGCUCGUAGGUGGUCAACUAAGUCGGACGUGAAAUCCCUCGGCUUAACCGGGGAACUGCGUCCGAUACUGGAUGACUUGAGUUCGGGAGAGGGAUGCGGAAUUCCAGGUGUAGCGGUGAAAUGCGUAGAUAUCUGGAGGAACACCGGUGGCGAAGGCGGCAUCCUGGACCGACACUGACGCUGAGGAGCGAAAGCCAGGGGAGCAAACGGG